AUCAUAGUCAAAAUCUGAGUUUGAUCCUGGCUCAGAAGGAACGCUAGCUAUAUGCUUAACACAUGCAAGUCGAACGUUGUUUUCGGGGAGCUGGGCAGAAGGAAAAGAGCCUCCUAGCUAAAGUUGUCUCGCCCUGCUUCAAAACUACAGGGCGCGCCUACGGCUUUGACCUAACGGCCUCCGUUGGCUGGAAUCAGAAAAGUUGAGAACAAAGUGGCGAACG
rnacentral:rRNA from 1 species